AUUGAACGCUGGCGGCAGGCCUAACACAUGCAAGUCGAGCGGAUGAGGAAAGCUUGCUUUUCGAUUCAGCGGCGGACGGGUGAGUAAUGCCUAGGAAUCUGCCUGUUAGUGGGGGAUAACUCGGGGAAACUCGGGCUAAUACCGCAUACGUCCUACGGGAGAAAGUGGGGGAUCUUCGGACCUCACGCUAACAGAUGAGCCUAGGUCGGAUUAGCUAGUAGGUGAGGUAAUGGCUCACCUAGGCGACGAUCCGUAACUGGUCUGAGAGGAGGGUCAGUCACACUGGAACUGGGACACGGUCCAGACUCCUACGGGAGGCAGCAGUGGGGAAUAUUGGACAAUGGGCGAAAGCCUGAUCCAGCCAUGCCGCGUGUGUGAAGAAGGUCUUCGGAUUGUAAAGCACUUUAAGUUGGGAGGAAGGGUAUUCACCUAAUACGUGGGUACUUUGACGUUACCAACAGAAUAAGCACCGGCUAACUCUGUGCCAGCCGCCGCCGUAAAAC
rnacentral:rRNA from 1 species